rnacentral:rRNA from 1 species
GACGAACGCUGGCGGCGUGCCUAAUUCAUGCAAGUAGAACGCACAGUUUAUACCGUAGCUUGCUACACCAUAAACUGUGAGUUGCGAACGGGUGAGUAACGCGUAGGUAACCUGCCUGGUAGCGGGGGAUAACUAUUGGAAACGAUAGCUAAUACCGCAUCAUAUUGAUUAUUGCAUGAUAAUUGAUUGAAAGAUGCUAUUGCAUCCCUACCAGAUGGACCUGCGUUGUAUUAGCUAGUAGGUGAGGUAACGGCGCACCUAGGCGACGAUACAUAGCCGACCUGAGAGGGUGAUCGGACACACUGGGACUGAGACACGGCCCAGACUCCUACGGGAGGCAGCAGUAGGGAAUCUUCGGCAAGGGACGAAAGUCUGACCGAGCAACGCCGCGUGAGUGAAGAAGGUUUUCGGAUCGUAAAGCGCUGUUGUAAGAGAAGAACGGGUGUGAGAGUGGAAAGUUCACACUGUGACGGUAUCUUACCAGAAAGGGACGGCUAACUACGUG